UCUUUAAGCUGUUUUGUCCUCUUUUUUUAGAUCCCUCAUCUCUCAUACAUCCUGCUUUCUCUAAUGCAGGCUUCUUCCUGGCUUCUUCAGCUCUUUUUCUCACAGCUCACUGAUUUGCUUGAUAAGUACUCUCUCUUGUUUCCCUCCUGCCUCCUAAAUUGUUGGCUAGUGUUUAUGCAACUGAGGAGGAUUGUUCUGAGCUGCUUUUUUACUUAGAACAUUUCAUUGAUACCAGUUGCUGAAGAGUGGUGACCACAGAGCAGAUCCUUGAAUCUCCAUCCCAUAUUUGGAAUUUUGCAUGGGAAGCCCCGGCCCAGCUUUUAGCUGGUAUCAAGAGGCAUGGGUCCAUGGAAGACUGCACACAACCAGCUGGGGAUCUGGUCUCAUCAGAAGAUGGUGUUGAAAGCACUGAGUUCUUCAUCAAAUCUGCAAGUGUAAAAUAUUUGAAACAAAAAUUACUUUUGCACACUUCCCCCUCCUUUUAGCAUGAAUGCUGUUUGCUACUCACCUUAGUAAGGCACGUUGA